CCUACGGGGGGCUGCAGUGGGGAAUAUUGGACAAUGGGGGGAACCCUGAUCCAGCCAUGCCGCGUGUGUGAAGAAGGCCCUCGGGUUGUAAAGCACUUUCAGUGAGGAAGAACGCCUGGUGGUUAAUACCCAUCAGGAAAGACAUCACUCACAGAAGAAGCACCGGCUAACUCCGUGCCAGCAGCCGCGGUAAUACGGAGGGUGCGAGCGUUAAUCGGAAUUACUGGGCGUAAAGCGCGCGUAGGUGUCUUGAUAAGCCGGUUGUGAAAGCCCCGGGCUCAACCUGGGAACGGCAUCCGGAACUGUCAAGCUAGAGUGCAGGAGAGGAAGGUAGAAUUCCCGGUGUAGCGGUGAAAUGCGUAGAGAUCGGGAGGAAUACCAGUGGCGAAGGCGGCCUUCUGGACUGACACUGACACUGAGGUGCGAAAGCGUGGGUAGCAAACAGGAUUAGAUACCCUGGUAGUC
rnacentral:rRNA from 1 species